AUCUAUGGCCAUGCUACAAGCCCGAUCCUAUCUGAUCUUAGAAGCUAACCAGGGUUGGGCCUGGUUAGUACUUGGAUGGGAGACCACCUAGGAAAACCAGGUGCUAUAGGUG
rnacentral:rRNA from 1 species